GCCCCUGUAGCUCAGUGGAUAGAGCAGCGGCCUCCGAAGCCGUGUGCAGGAGUUCGACUCUCCUCAGGGGUA
rnacentral:tRNA from 1 species